rnacentral:lncRNA from 1 species
CUUCCUUACUUGCAGGGCCCCUAGAUGCAAAGCCCGCGGUGGCCUCCUGGCUGCUGUGUGAGCUCAGGAGGGCUGAGAGCCUCUCUGAGCCUCCGCCACCGUCUCUGUGGAGUGGGGACGAUCAGGAGCCGCCUUCUGGAGUUGCCUGAAGAGGCCAAGCGAGUGCAGUUAUUUAAAGAAGCCAAUCAUGAUCUGACCAGAGCACGGGUCCUUAGAUGCUCAUAUGGACAGAUGACUGCGAAGCCUUGGAUUCUGUGGAUUCAAGUGGCUCUGCCCAGGUUGAGGGCAGGACUCCGAGGCCUCAGCACCUGCACUUCUGGGACAGGGCCAGCAGGGCUGGAGGAGGGUGGCUCACCCUGAGAAUGUUCCGGUGAGUCAAGGAGUGGUCUUGGGUAACUUCUGCCCCGGGGCUUCCCAGGGGCCAGAGACUGUGUCCCCAAACAA